rnacentral:rRNA from 1 species
GUAGUCCACGCCGUAAACGAUGUCUACUAGUCGUUGGGUCCCUUGAGGACUUAGUGACGCAGCUAACGCAAUAAGUAGACCGCCUGGGGAGUACGGCCGCAAGGUUAAAACUCAAAUGAAUUGACGGGGGCCCGCACAAGCGGUGGAGCAUGUGGUUUAAUUCGAUGCAACGCGAAGAACCUUACCUGGUCUUGACAUAUCUAGAAUCCUGCAGAGAUGCGGGAGUGCCUUCGGGAAUUAGAAUACAGGUGCUGCAUGGCUGUCGUCAGCUCGUGUCGUGAGAUGUUGGGUUAAGUCCCGCAACGAGCGCAACCCUUGUCAUUAGUUACCAGCGGUUUGGCCGGGAACUCUAAGGAUACUGCCAGUGACAAACUGGAGGAAGGCGGGGACGACGUCAAGUCAUCAUGGCCCUUACGACCAGGGCUACACACGUGCUACAAUGGUAGGUACAGAGGGCAGCUACACAGCGAUGUGAUGCGAAUCCCAAAAAGCCUAUCGUAGUCCAGAAUUGACUCCGCGACUCGACUCCAUGAAGUAG